AAUGAACGCUAGCGGCAGGCCUAAUACAUGCAAGUCGAACGGGAUUGAGGAGCUUGCUCCUCAUGAGAGUGGCGCACGGGUGCGUAACACGUAUGUAACCUACCUUAAUCAGGGGGAUAGCCUCUCGAAAGAGAGAUUAACACCGCAUAAAAUCACACUAUGGCAUCAUAGAAUGAUCAAAUAUUUAUAGGAUUAAGAUGGGCAUGCGGAACAUUAGCUAGUUGGUAAGGUAACGGCUUACCAAGGCUACGAUGUUUAGGGGAUCUGAGAGGAUGGCCCCCCACACUGGUACUGAGACACGGACCAGACUCCUACGGGAGGCAGCAGUAAGGAAUAUUGGUCAAUGGACGGAAGUCUGAACCAGCCAUGCCGCGUGCAGGAAGACGGCCCUACGGGUUGUAAACUGCUUUUGUACCGGAAUAAACCUCUUUACGUGUGAGGAGCUGAAUGUACGGUAAGAAUAAGGAUCGGCUAACUCCGUGCCAGCCGCCGCAGUAAUAC
rnacentral:rRNA from 1 species